rnacentral:rRNA from 1 species
CUUAAGCAUAUCAAUAAGCGGAGGAAAAGAAACCAACAGGGAUUGCCCUAGUAACGGCGAGUGAAGCGGCAACAGCUCAAAUUUGAAAUCUGGCUCUUUCAGGGUCCGAGUUGUAAUUUGCAGAGGGCGCUUUGGCGUUGGCAGCGGUCCAAGUUCUUUGGAACAGGACGUCACAGAGGGUGAGAAUCCCGUACGUGGUCGCUAUCCUUCGCCGUGUAAAGCCCCUUCGACGAGUCGAGUUGUUUGGGAAUGCAGCUCUAAAUGGGAGGUAAAUUUCUUCUAAAGCUAAAUACUGGCCAGAGACCGAUAGCGCACAAGUAGAGUGAUCGAAAGAUGAAAAGCACUUUGGAAAGAGAGUCAAAUAGCACGUGAAAUUGUUGAAAGGGAAGCGCUUGCAGCCAGACUUGCCUGUAGUUGCUUAUCUGGACUUUUGUCCAGUGCACUCUUCUGCGGGCAGGCCAGCAUCAGUUUGGGCGGUUGGAUAAAGGUCUCUGUCAUGUACCUCCUUUCGGGGAGGCCUUAUAGGGGAGACGACAUGCAACCAGCCUGGACUGAGGUCCGCGCAUCUGCUAGGAUGCUGGCGUAAUGGCUGUAAGCGGCCCGUCUUGAAACACGGACCAAGGAGUCUAACAUCUAUGCGAGUGUUUGGGUGUCAAGCCCAGACGCGUAAUGAAAGUGAACGGAGGUGGGAACCUUUUAGGUGCACCAUCGACCGAUCCUGAUGUCUUCGGAAGGAUUUGAGUAAGAGCAUGGCUGUUGGGACCCGAAAGAUGGUGAACUAUGCUUGAAUAGGGUGAAGCCAGAGGAAACUCUGGUGGAGGCUCGCAGCGGUUCUGACGUGCAAAUCGAUCGUCAAAUUUGGGCAUAGGGGCGAAAGACUAAUCGAACUAUCUAGUAGCUGGUUCCUGCCGAAGU